AAGUAAUGCCAGAGGUCCUUCCAGGCAGUUCUCAACUUGCUCCUUGGCUGUUCUCCUGACACUUAAGUCAGAGCAUUCUGUAGCUGUAUUUUACAGAACUGUAAUUGCACAGAUUGUUCCUCUUACAAGAGAAAUAUCCAGAGCUCUAAGAAAACAACUGAUGAAAACGGUAUGCGUGACAUUUGGUGCUGAAGACCCAGGUCAGAGAGACUCCUUUGGGGGACCAGUCCGCUGUCCUUGCCCUCACUCUGUGAGGAGACCCACCUACGACCUCGGGUCCUCAGACCAACCAGCUCAAGGAACAUCUCACCAAUUUCAAAUCGGGUAAGCGGUCUUUUCACUUUUCUCCAGCCUCUCUC
rnacentral:lncRNA from 10 species